UACGUAGGGUGCAAGCGUUGUCCGGAAUUAUUGGGCGUAAAGAGCUCGUAGGCGGUCUGUCGCGUCUGCUGUGAAAACUCAGGGCUUAACCCUGAGCUUGCAGUGGGUACGGGCAGACUAGAGUGCGGUAGGGGAGACUGGAAUUCCUGGUGUAGCGGUGAAAUGCGCAGAUAUCAGGAGGAACACCGGUGGCGAAGGCGGGUCUCUGGGCCGUAACUGACGCUGAGGAGCGAAAGGCAUGGGGAGCGAACAGGA
rnacentral:rRNA from 1 species